CCCAAAGCGAAACCUCCCCCACUCCUCUUUUCACAGUGGUAAAUCAGUAUAAAGCCCACUGCAGAAAUUUGUGUGGAACUAGAAAUUUAGCUGGAAAUGUACCACAAUAUACCAGUCUUUCUUUUCUAUACUCAUGGCCCCUUUCUUAGUUUAGGCCCUUGAAGAUAAUGCUUGGACAAUUACCUCCUAAAUUAUUUUCUUGCCAGUAAUUUAUCUUUUCCCCAGCACCACGGCCAAAUCACAGCUCUGAGUGGGGAACCACAUUUGAACAGACUAGUCCCUUCUGCCUUCUGGGCAGGUCACAUCUGAAAGAUUAUCCUCUUUGAAUCAGUUUGAAUGUUCUAGUGACCAGGCCACACAGUUUCUCUUGACAUUUAAAAAUAAAGCUUCCAGUCUUGUCACUAAUGGAUUUGGGGUCCAGUACCCUUAAAAUCACCUCAGAGCUGCCUGAAUCCAUAGACUACUUGCAGAAUCACUGGUUUUACUUGGAUCAAGCCAUCUGAGAAGAAAAAAGCAUUGGAAAUGGAGGAGACUGUCAAGGACAAUAAUAAAUGAUGUUUGGCUGAAAUAAAAACUCAAAGCCCCCACAAUAUUGAACCACCAUUCCAGACCCAGCCAAGGUUUGGAACAUAAAGUGAGCUGAAUGAAUCAGCCUGCAGGCAACCCAGAGAAAGUAAUUGUUCAUCCUAGCAGCACGGCUGCUUUUCUGCUUAGCAUCUGAACAAGUUAAUUUGGAAACACAGCCUUCUGGAAAGAAAUGGCGCUUCUCUCAGCAUCCCAUGGAUUCAUGAGCUUGACCAGUCUGUAUUUGACCUUCCAUCACCAAUUAAUUAAAAAACAAAAGCAG
rnacentral:lncRNA from 1 species